rnacentral:lncRNA from 1 species
AAUGUCUUUUAAGGAGAUUUCCCAAUGUUUGUUAGUGAUAAACUUACUGAGUAGACAUUAAAAGUCAUUUGCUUAGUAAUAUUUGUUCAAAUAAGCUUUAGUUUUAUAAGACUUACUGGAUAAUCUGAUUUUUUUAAAAAAUCAACAUCAUUUUUAAUGUUUUCAGAUAUAAUGCCAAUCUAUAUAUGUUCUGAAUCUAAACAAUACAUGUAUAAGUACAGACUUUUAAACCUUUCUGUCUGGAUCAAAACUGAAUGAGUUGAUUUAGAUUGGAUUUUGCAGUAAUGAGAUAUAGUUUUUCAUGUCUAUGAAUGAAAUUCUUGCCCAUGGUUUCUAUUUUCUCCAUGAGUCGUUCAUAGUUUUGACACUCCAAGAGACACUUUGCAUGAAGUCCUCUGUCUUUCCAGUCCCCUCUGUGUUUGCUGGGGUAGAACAGAGAAGCAUAGAGGAGGUUCACUUACUGUUUUUCUGUGAUUUGCACAUGAAAACUGUUUGGUGGGGUUCUUAAAAGUAUUUUUUCUUAAAGAAUAAAAUGAUGAUAUGGUAGAUAUUUUCAUAACAUAUUCUGUACUUCCCUUUUAGACCAAGCUAGAGUCAGACCAAAUUCUAGCAUCAGUGGGGAAGAAACCUCCCCAGGAAAUUGGUAUCAAAGUGAAAAACCAUUCUGCAUGUGGCCUACCCUUGGCUCACAAUAAAAGUUUUAGGAAACUGUUAAAAGAAAUCAUAGGGGAAAGUGCACCAAGGCUCACAGAACUGAAUCCCAAAGAGUUUGCUGGCUUCCAAGUGGGGCUCUUAAACAAGGUAGGUUGUGCCCUUGAAAGGUCAGGCUCCGCUCACUUUGCCUGGUAUAUGUGUUGUUUGAAACGAUGGCCUAUUUGGAGAGUUUUAUUAGUGUUGUUGUUGUUGUUGUUAAUAGUAGUAGAUUUUAGGUUUUUGUUUGUUUGUUAUUUUUUUUUCGAGACAGGGUUUCUUUCUGUAACCCUGGCUGUCCUGGAACUCACUCUAUAUAUUCGGCUAGCCUUGAACUCACAGAGGUCCAUGUGGCUACCUCAGCCUCAGCCUCUGCAUCUGCUUCUGCCUCUGCUAGGAUUAAAUAUAUACACGACCAGGCACGGCUUGGAGUUAGUAAUUAUUAACAAAGCCAUUUUAAGAUUAUUCUG